GUAUAGACUGAUAUAACAGGUUAGUUAGUAUAGACUGAUAUAACAGGUUAGUUAGUAUAGACUGAUAUAACAGGUUAGUUAGUAUAGACUGAUAUAACAGGUUAGU